rnacentral:rRNA from 1 species
AUACGUAGGGGGCGAGCGUUGUCCGGAAUUACUGGGCGUAAAGGGUGCGUAGGCGGCACAUUAAGUCAGAUGUGAAAAACCUGGGCUUAACCGAGGUAUUGCAUGUGAAACUGAUGUGCUUGAGUGCAGGAGAGGGAAGUGGAAUUCCUAGUGUAGCGGUGAAAUGCGUAGAGAUUAGGAGGAACACCAGUGGCGAAGGCGGCUUCCUGGACUGUAACUGACGCUGAGGCACGAAAGCGUGGGGAGCAAACAGGAUUAGAUACCCUGGUAGUCCACGCCGUAAACGAUGGAUACUAGGUGUAGGUGUCGGUUUAGGCAUCGGUGCCGUAGUUAACGCAAUAAGUAUCCCGCCUGGGGAGUACGGCCGCAAGGCUGAA